rnacentral:rRNA from 1 species
GAUCAUGGCUCAGGAUGAACGCUAGCUACAGGCUUAACACAUGCAAGUCGAGGGGCAGCAUUUUAGUUUGCUUGCAAACUAAAGAUGGCGACCGGCGCACGGGUGAGUAACACGUAUCCAACCUGCCGAUAACUCGGGGAUAGCCUUUCGAAAGAAAGAUUAAUAUCCGAUAGCAUAUUGAGAUCGCAUGAUUUUGUAUAUUAAAGAAAUUUACGGUUUAUCGAUGGGGAGUGCGUU